CAGCAGCCGCGGUAAUACGUAGGUGGCAAGCGUUGUCCGGAAUUAUUGGGCGUAAAGGGCUCGCAGGCGGUUUCUUAAGUCUGAUGUGAAAGCCCCCGGCCCAACCGGGGAGGGUCAUUGGAAACUGGGAAACUUGAGUGCAGAAGAGGAGAGUGGAAUUCCACGCGUAGCGGUGAAAUGCGUAGAGAUGUGGAGGAACACCAGUGGCGAAGGCGACUCUCUGGUCUGUAACUGACGCUGAGGAGCGAAAGCGUGGGGAGCGAACAGGAUUAGAUACCCCCGUAGUCCCUGUCUCUUAUAC
rnacentral:rRNA from 1 species